rnacentral:lncRNA from 1 species
AUGUCUGUGACUCCAUUUCCCUCUGCACUGUGGAGCUGGAUUCAUGUCACCAGGUCACUUGUGCUGUGUCCAGUCCAGUGGAACCCUCCAAAGAUGGAGAUUCUGCAAGUUCUGCUGAGUGUGAUUGCUGUAAUGCAUUGGAGUCAGGCAACAGAGCUUUGUAUCUGGGGGAUCUAACAGGUGUUGUCCAUUUAGGCUUGCAUGAGCCCACUGUGGAAGGGAUUACUUAAGCAGCUCAGGAUUCAAAAGUUAGCACAGUAAGUAAAAUCUUUACAUUAUUUUGUGAUUUGUGGUCAGUUUGUUCCCUUGUUUACCAAAUUAGUUGGGUUUUUUUCCCAGUUAAAUCUCUUUUAGAUUUAUUGGAGAGGUGACAAAAAUCUGAGAAUUGUCACUAUCACCAGUAUUUUAAAAUGGUCCCUUAAAAAGUGUGU